AUCGUUAUACCAUGACAAAAACUCUCCCUAUAUCGACAAAGUUACGUAUGGAGAACAGUGUCAGCUUCUUCAAACGCCAUAAAUCUUCUCUUUCCCUUUCUUUAAUCGUCGGGUACCUUGAACCUUCCUUUUCUCUCCCCCUCUCUGAAAUCUUCUGUAUUCUAUUUGAUGGCUUCAGCCUCUCAAGCUAGCCUUCUCCUUCAGAAACAGCUCAAAGGUAUUGACUUAUUGAGAAUUCCUUUUUCUUUGGCCCCUGAAUUGUGUAUCAGCAUUGGGUUUCUUCUAUUUUUGUUCUUAUGAGAUUUUUUGUGGGUUAAUUGGGGGUAAUAAUCCGUGCUUUCUCUCUUUGCAGAUCUAUGCAAACACCCUGUGGAUGGAUUUUCAGCUGGCUUGCUAGAUGAAGCAGACCUGUUUGAAUGGAGUGUUACCAUUAUUGGGCCUCCGGAUACUCUAUAGUGAGCGUUUCUACUUGUUAUUUUGGUUAAAUAUUGUAUUUUUUGCUUAAUUAUUAAUACUUUUGGCUCGUUAUUAUUAUUUAAAUUUGUGUUUGAUUGAUUACUGUUAAAACUUGUUCACUAUAUGUGUUAAUUGUGAAAUCUUUUAAGCUGCACGAUGCUAUUUUAAUCAGUGUGGUUGUGAGGUUUUUAAUUUGCGAAGUUGUUUUAAUUUUGUAAUUCAGGUUGUAUAAUUAGUUUUUCCUGUCUCCUG
rnacentral:lncRNA from 1 species